rnacentral:rRNA from 1 species
GACGAACGCUGGCGGCGUGCUUAACACAUGCAAGUCGAGCGAUGAAAUCUUGACAGAUCCCUUCGGGGUGAAGAUAAGCUGGAUUAGCGCCGGACGGGUGAGUAACACGUGAGUAACCUGCCUUAGACAUUGGGAUAGCCUCUGGAAACCGGGAUUAAUACCAACUGAAAUCAUAGGUGCCCAUGCACUAAUGUUCAAAACUCCGCUGGUCUAAGAUGGCCUCGCGUCCGAUUAGCUAGUUGGUGAGGUAAUGGCCCACCAAGGCGACGAUGGGUAGCCGGCAUGAGAGGGGGACCGGCCGCAAUGGAACUGAGAAACGGUCCAGAAUCGUACGGGAGGGAGGAGAAGGGAAUAUUGCACGAGGGAGGGAGCUCUGAUGCAGCGGCGCGGCGUGAACGAUCAAGGCUUUCGAGAAGUAAAGUUCUUUUAUAUGAGGAGAGAGUGACGGUACCAUAAGAAGAAGCCCCGGCUAACUACGUG